rnacentral:lncRNA from 1 species
CUGUGGACAACACGGGCCAAACGGGGGGAAAAUCCUUUUGGGCGGCACAAACGUCCCGUGUGGUUAAAAAUCUCGCUCAGUCCGUGGAUAUCGACUUUCUCCCACCCGGGUGUGAGGGACUACUCCCAGCUCACCCUUGACCUGACUAGGAAUGAGCUUAUUGUGGGUGCAACAGAAUGGGCGCCGGACGUGGAGACCAGGAGAUCCUGUCAGAGCAAAGGCAAAACAGAGAUUGAAUGUCAGAACUACAUCAGGGUCCUGCUGGUGAACAAGACGGAGGUCAUGACCUGCGGAACCAACGCUUUCCAGCCGCUGUGCAUCACCCGGGAGGUGGGCAACAUGAGCAGCGUGCUGGAGCGCGUGAACGGCGUGGCGCGCUGCCCGUACGACCCGCGCCACAACUCCACGGCGGUGGUGACGGAGAGCGGCGAGCUGUACGCCGCCACGGUCAUCGACUUCUCCGGCCGCGACCCCGUCAUCUACCGCAGCCUGGGCGGCAUGCCGCCUCUCCGGACCGCCCAGUACAACUCAAAGUGGCUCAACGAGCCCCACUUCAUCUCGGCCUACGACAUCGGCCUCUUCACCUUCUUCUUCCUGCGGGAGAACGCCGUGGAGCACGACUGCGGCAAGACGGUGUACUCGCGCGUGGCGCGCGUCUGCAAGAACGACAUCGGCGGCCGCUUCCUGCUGGAGGACACGUGGACCACGUUCAUGAAGGCGCGGCUCAACUGCUCGCGCUCGGGCGAGAUCCCCUUCUACUACAACGAGCUGCAGAGCACCUUCUACCUGCCGGAGCAGGACCUCAUCUACGGCAUCUUCACCACCAAUGUCAACAGUAUUGCAGCGUCCGCAGUGUGUGCCUUCAACCUGAGCGCCAUCACCCAGGCUUUCAACGGGCCCUUCCGCUCGCAGGAGAACCCCCGCUCCACCUGGCUUCCCACGCCCAACCCCAUCCACAACUUCCAGUGUGGUACUAUAGACGAUCAGGGUCCCAACGAGGGUCUGACGGAGCGCAGCCUGCAGGACGCCCAGAGGCUCUACCUGAUGAACGACGUGGUCCAGCCGGAGUCUGUCGAUCCGCUGGUGAUGCAGGACGACGUUCGCUUCUCCAACCUGGUCGUGGACAUUGUCCAGGGCAUGGAGACGCUCUACCACGUUAUGUAUAUCAGCACAGAAUAUGGCACCAUCCUGAAGGCGUUGGAGAUGGAGCUCCUCCCACCGGGGGUUCGGGAACCAAUCCUUAGCCUGCAGAUCCUGCACAGCGACAGGUCGCUCUUCGUGGGACUCAACGACAGAGUCCUGAAGAUCCCGCUGGAGCGGUGCUCCACCUACAAAACUGAGACGCUGUGCUUGGAGGCCAGGGAUCCCUACUGUGGCUGGGACUUCCGGCAGCGGAGGUGCACCACGCUGGAGGACAGCUCCAACAUGAGCCAGUGGAAGCAGAACAUCACCGCCUGUCCGCUGCGGAACCAAACCACCAAUGGCGGCUUCGGGGCCUGGGCGCCCUGGCAACCGUGCAACAACGACGACGGCGUGGAUGGCGUGAGCUCCUGUUUGUGUCGCUCCAGGACCUGCGACAGCCCCGCCCCCCGAUGUGGAGGCAGGAACUGCGAGGGCUCCACCAUCGAAGUCGCCAACUGCUCCAGAAAUGGAGGCUGGACGCCCUGGUCGUCGUGGGGACAGUGCAGCACGACCUGCGGCACGGGCUUCGAGCUGCGGCAGCGCUCCUGCAACAACCCUUCGCCGCGACACGGCGGCCGCGUGUGCGUGGGGCCGAGCAGGGACGAGAGGUUCUGUAAUGAAGGGGUGGCCUGUCCGCAGCCCAUCUUCUGGACGCCGUGGGGAUCGUGGACCAAGUGCAGCACCGAGUGCGGGGGAGGCGUCCACUCCAGGGUCCGCACUUGUGAGAACGGCAACAGCUGCCCAGGAUGUGCACUGGAAUACAAGGCGUGUAACCUGGAGGCGUGUCCGGAGGUCAAGAGGAACACGCCGUGGACGCCCUGGAUGCCCGUCAACGUGACCCAGGGCGGCGCUCGCCAGGAGCAGCGGAUGCGCUACAUGUGCCGGGCGCACCUGUCCGAUCCCCACGAGCUGCAGAUCGGACGCAGGAAGGUGGAGACGCGCUUCUGUCCCAACGACGGCACGGCCGCCUGCGAGACGGACACUCCCACUGCGGGUCAUGUAGCGGCCGGCUCCGGCUGGUCGUCGUGGGAGACCUGGUCCAGCUGCUCGCAGAGCUGCGCCAAGGGCUACCGCACCCGUCGGCGAUCGUGCGCCGGGCCGGAGGGAAAGAGCGCCCCCGUCGCCUGCCGGGGCUCGCCCGUCGAGUACCAGGACUGCAACGUGCAGGCCUGUCCCGUGAAAGGUGCGUGGUCCUGCUGGUCGUCCUGGUCCCUGUGCUCCGUGGGCUGCGGCGGCGGUCACUACCAGCGCACGCGCUCCUGUAACAGCCCGGCGCCCGCCAGCGGGGGGGACAUCUGCAUCGGACUGCACACCGAGGAGGCCCUCUGCAACACACACACCUGCGACGGUGGCUGGAUGGCCUGGUCGCUGUGGUCGGCCUGCGAUGAUUCGGGCUCGCAGAUGAGGAGUCGGGUGUGCGGCGCUCAGGGCAACAGCCCGUGUGUGGGCAACAGCACCCAGCGGCGAGACUGCAACGAAAUACCUGUCAUUCUCCCUGCAUCUGGUUUUGAUAAGGACCAACACUGCGGAGCGUUCACCUCCAUCCACCUGAUCGCCACCGGUGUGUCCUGUUUCCUCGGGGCGGGCCUGCUGUCCUUCCUGAUCUACGUCUACUGCCAGCGCUUCCACAAGCCCUCGCAGGAGUCCGCCGUCAUCCACCCCACCACGCCCAACCACCUCAACUACAAGGGCAACACCACGCCAAAGAACGAGAAGUACACGCCCAUGGAGUUCAAGACGCUGAACAAAAACAACCUGCUGCCAGACGAACGGUCCAACUUCUACCCGACGCCGCUCCAGCAGACCAACGUGUACACCACCACCUACUACCCCACGGGGCAAGAUUUAUCUUUUCUUUCCAAUGCUUUUGGUUUUUCUUCUCCCCCCUCCACGAACAAUAAAGACUUCUGGAAGAGGAUCGAUUGA